rnacentral:lncRNA from 1 species
GUGAGAAGUAGUACCGGGGAGAUUCCUUUCCAAAUAGACGCCUUGUGGAGAAGCGUCUUGGCUGGCGAGGUCUGAUCCAGAACAGCGAUGGGAGAGACCCCGCUGGCAGAGCGACAUGCAUAUGGGGCUCGCAGACAGCCCCUGGGCAGAAUUGUCUGCCAUUUGAACUGCCAAGACUCUUGAAACAGCUGUGAAGACGCCGCAGUCAACUCAAGGGCUUUAAGACGAUGCUGACAAAACAUCAAACGCUUCCCUUGAGGAGGUGGUGGAACAUUUUGACCAUUUUGGCAGCCCUCUCUCCCUGGGAGAGUCUGUGGGGCCGGCUGCAGCAAGCAUUGCCCAACGUCUGUGCCCUGUUCACUGGCCCUGGCCCCACCCCCCAGGGGCCCCAUCCCCGAGGACAGGCUUGGGUCCCAAGCGCAGGCCCUGCCAGCUGGGCCCUUUCCUGUGGUUCUGCCUGGUUUGUCAUCCAGAGCUCGCAGGGCGGGGGGCAUGCCGUCUGUGCCAGCUGUGAGCUCCAGACAAGGGAGGCCAACGAGCUGUCCCCAGUGGGCAAGUUAACCGGUCAGAUCUUCCCCCACGUCUCGUAAAAAUACACCAGGGGCUGCCGGUCACUUUCUGCUCCCUGAACCGCUCUGUCCCUGGGCUCUGCUGACCUGCUUUCAGGAAACUUCCCGAAAUAGGCAUCCAGGUUCCGGAAGGGACGGCUUGGCUGUUUCUGGACCUCUCUGGGCCUCGUCCCCAGCCGUAGACAAGAUGGGUCCAGAGCCUGCUUUGUCACUAAGACCGCCAUUAACGGUGCGAGAUCUGAUGCUGGUCAUUCCAACUUCAUCUUCAGCUGCGGGCUCCAGGCCCACGCCCACCGUGGAAAAUAAAAUGGUUUUUCAGGAUCAGAGGCCCCUAACUCACCCCCCUGCCCCAGGUUAUUCUAAAGCUCUAAGGUGCUCACCACUCACUGUUUUCACUAACUGUUCCUAACUUCAAAUUCCUUUUACAUAAACAAACAGGGGCCCCCGGACCCUGGUCAGUGACACUGACAUCGCAGGUCCAGAAAAUAGGUCCUGUUCUUCUUUCUAUCUUGCUCUCAAAAGAAGGAAAGCUGGUUUUCAAGGUUUUAGAGCUUCACACUUCCUCAGUUGGUUUCGUCAUCAACACGCAUUGGCAUGAAGUUGGUACAGUACUAGACAGAGGUUUUAAGGCGCCUACACUUCCCAUCAAGCUCUGUAACAUUUUCAAGGACGGGACCCAUAGUUGGUCCCUUUGGACAGACCAUAAUUGGUCUGUCGCCUCUUUCUUCUGACUUCAGAGCAACAGGACAAAGUUGCCUUUUGCUGGUGUCACGAUUUUAAAAUUCCAGGCUCAUUGCAUUUCUUGAUGUGUCUGGUGAUGCGAACCAGCCGGCACGUGUCAAACUCCUGCCACCUCUAGCAGGAGUGGGUGUGAGUGCAAAGAAAUCCUCCAGGGUGUACAAUAUUUCUUCCAGAAGUGGGCACUUUUUUGGAAGAAAUAGGCCAGAGGUUUGGAAGGAAAAGUUAAUUACAAAUAAAAAGAGAGAGGAAGAAGAAACAAAGGAUGGACAUCUUAAGACGCAUUUAAGUGUUAACUUUACAGUCAACUUAACUUAGCAUAUACUUAUGACCCGGGGCCCCAGGCUGUGCCGUGGUGCCCCGGAGCAGCGCCGAGAACUCACAGGGGUGCAGCCGGAUGUUUUAAAUUUGGGAGAGAACCAGCAAAAUCUAUCAGAAACCAUGUGAACUAACUCCAUGUAAUUCACCCUUUCAACAUUAGAUUGUGCUACAUUCCUUUCGAUGAUGUCAUAUCUUGGCAAAGCUGGGCUUUUGGCGGCUGCUGUCAUCAAAAGCAAUUACUGUGUGAAAAUCAGUGUGGG